GUAAUGCCAUUAAUUUGGUGUUGCGGGGAAUUUGGACUGUUACUUUGAAAAAAUUAGNGUGUUUAAAGCAAGCUAACGCUUGAAUACAUUAGCAUGGAAUAAUGAAAUAGGACGUUCGAUNNNAUUUUGUUGGUUUCUAGGAUUGACGUAAUGAUUAAUAGGGAUAGUUGGGGGCAUUAGUAUUCAAUUGUCAGAGGUGAAAUUCUUGGAUUUAUUGAAGACUAACUACUGCGAAAGCAUUUGCCAAGGAUGUUUUCAUUAAUCAAGAACGAAAGUUAGGGGAUCGAAGACGAUCAGAUACCGUCGUNNNCUUAACCAUAAACUAUGCCGNCUAGGGAUCGGAUGAUGUUAAUUUUU
rnacentral:rRNA from 1 species